AGUAAAAGUCGUAACAAGGUUUCCGUAGGUGAACCUGCGGAAGGAUCAUUACAGAGCGUGAGGCUCAGUCGUGGCAUCUGCCGCGCGCUGGGCCGACCCUCCCACCCGUGUCGAUUUGUAUCUUGUUGCUUUGGCGGACCGGGCUGUGUCGACGCUGCCCGCAAGGACAUGCGACGGCCGCCCACCGGCUUCGGCUGGAGCGCGUCCGCCAAAGACCCAACCAAAACUCAUGUUGUCUUUGCAGUCUUAAGCUUUAUUAUUGAAUUGAUAAAACUUUCAACAACGGAUCUCUUGGCUCUGGCAUCGAUGAAGAACGCAGCGAAAUGAGAUAAGUAAUGUGAAUUGCAGAAUUUAGUGAAUCAUCGAAUCUUUGAACGCACAUUGCGCCCCUUGGUAUUCCGAGGGGCAUGCCUGUUCGAGCGUCAUAACACCCCAUCCAGCUACCUUUGCGUGGCUGCGGCGUUGGGGCACGUCGCGGUGCGGCGGCCCUUAAAGACAGUGGCGGUCCCGGCGUGGGCUCUACGCGUAGUAACUUGCUUCUCGCGACAGAGUGACGACGGUCGGCCUGCCAGAAAGCUCAUUUGUUCCAGUCACAUGGAUCAUAGGUUGACCUCGAAUCAGGUAGGAAUACCCGCUGAACUUAAGCAUAUCAAUAAGCGGAGGAAAAGAAACCAACAGGGAUUCCCCAGUAACG
rnacentral:rRNA from 1 species